ACGUCCUGCUCAACGUGGCACCCAGAGCCCCGCCCACACAGGCCGCAGCCGCUGGCAGCGCUAGACUGAUAAUAACACUGCCUGUGACACGCAGGCGGCUCCCGCACAUCACCGGGGCAAUUACUCCGCUGCUAACACUGCAACGCCGCUCACACCGUGCACUGCCCACACACUGCGCUGCUAUACCAGUAACUACAGUACUACUCAGUCAUAUAACACAGCUAGGAAGGAGGAUACCCAUUGCCAAACACAAAUAUGGCGUAACUGUGCAGUAACUUCCUGCUGCGUAUUUCCUUCCUGUGACCUACUUCCGCGUGUAGCCCGCCCCCUCUACAGACCUCGUGUCUGCAGGACUCGAGCGCGUGCGGCCAUUUGCUGAGCUGUGGACAUCGGGCGCGGAGAUGUCUGUCUGCUUCAUGCAGUUCACUUUUGUAUCAAAGAAGGACCAGUGUAAAUUGCACAAACCACCAUGAAAAAUUCAAGCUGAAAUGCUGGUUGUAUAUUAUCUGGAUAGCAUAGUGAACAGAUGACGUGUGCUGGUGAAACUGGCCAGGUUCUGAAGCAAAAAUGUCUGAGGAGGAUUCCUUAGGGGAGGUGACCAAGAACUGACUGCAGAUGAAGCACUGCUGAUCGGGAUACUACAGUAUUGAAGAAUCUAUUUAUGAAGAUUCAUGUUGGAUGCCAAAAUGGAUUUUAUGUUGAGCUAUGUAACUGUUGUCCUGUGUUAAAUUAAUUCUGAAAACUUAAAAUGUAGCAAUUAAUGGACUACAUACUACUCUAAAACAGUAUAUCAAUAGUGAGUAUUUUGUUUUUUUCCAGUGUAACUGAGAAUGAGUUAAGGGCCCCAUGAUUUAGUUAGGGUUCUUGUAUACAUUAUACUUGAGCUUGUUAUAGCUGAGCCUUUGUUUUUGAUAAGUCAUUGUGAAUGUUUAAUAAAUAAUGAAAAAAUAAAACCAAUUACGCAGUUGGGCUCCUAGCGAA